CUUUGGUCUUAUUUUGUUGGUUUCUAGGACUGAAGUAAUGAUUAAUAGGGACAGUUGGGGGCAUUAGUAUUUAAUUGUCAGAGGUGAAAUUCUUGGAUUUAUGAAAGACUAACUUCUGCGAAAGCAUUUGCCAAGGAUGUUUUCAUUAAUCAAGAACGAAAGAUAGGGGAUCGAAGACGAUCAGAUACCGUCGUAGUCCUAUCCAUAAACUAUGCCGACUAGGGAUCAGUGGGUGUAUUAAGACCCCAUUGGCACCUUAUGAGAAAUCAAAGUUUUUGGGUUCUGGGGGGUGUAUGGUCGCAAGGCUGAAACUUAAAGGAAUUGACGGAAGGGUACCACAAGACUUGGAGCUUGCGGCUUAAUUUGACUCAACACGGGGAAACUCACCAGGUCCAGA
rnacentral:rRNA from 1 species